rnacentral:lncRNA from 1 species
UGCAAGUUAAUUGGAAAGAACAUGUAUUGCGGUUUCUUGUUCCUCAUAGUAAAUUUGUAGGACGCGCAUCAUGAAUCCUAAAUGUGAGAAUGCUUUGGAACAAAUUUAUGAGUUAUUUUUGCAACUCUAUACAAUAACAGGAGGACAUAAUUUAUAUGGAAAACUUCUCCUUCUAAGGCAGAUAUUAAUAUUCUUCAAUCCAUAGAGUAAGUUCAACAAUUCAGUAGCUAAUGCGUUCUAAGUAAUACAAAGGCAUGAAUAGUCAUAUUUUGCUACAAAUGUUUACGUAAAUGCAAACUUACACAUGUUACUACAUUUCUCACUAGAAGCUAAUUCAAGAUAUUUCUAUAUGGACUAAAGUAAUAAUCUUAGUCAUAGUCAUGAACAGUCAUAUUUUAAAAAUGUUUCCAUAAAUUCAAACUUACACAUGUUACUAUGUUUCUCACUGGAAGCUAAUUCAAAAUAUUUCUAUAUGAUUAUGGACGGAACUAAUAAUAUUAGUCACAGAGCCCUUAGUAAAUAUAAUUUUUUGAUAUUUACAACAUCUACCUAUUGUCAAGUGCAAAACUGAAGCAUCUUGUGUUAUUGUAAGUCCAUAUUUUCUUUCCCGUGACGGAGGAUUUGUAGUUCUAAAAUGCAUACAACUGAAGAUGUCACCAUUGGCUCUAUUUUAUUCUAAUGCAUAUAUCGCACAGUAAGACAUGGGUUCUCAUGCAAUUUGGCCUUGUUCUUUCUCAAGAUAUGACUUCUUUAGCAUCAUAAGCCUCUAAAGAGCACUCGAGCGUACCCUACAUCAUCACGGCUUCUCUUGUACUACAUGGGCUUAUGGUGGUAUGUGCUAAUUAACUUCUCUCUCGAUAUUUAUGAGAAUUGUCGUUAAUAAAAAAGGAAAACUAGAUGUCUAAGGAGGAACGUGGUAUUUUCUAUAAGUAGAGCUAACAUGAACAACCACUCCUUUGAUGAUAUGCUACAUUUUUCCAACAAGGAAUUGAACUACUCUCUAGGAAAGGGAGUUUAGAUUUUUUUUGUUAUUAAUGAUGGGUUCAGACUCGAUGGAUGCUUGUUCUAGAAAGAAGUCUAGAAAGAAGUCACUGAAUUGAUAUCAACUAAAGCAAUCUCUUCUUUAUACAAGAGGCAAGGGCUACCUUGAUAGCACGUAAAAACAUGAAUUGUUUGAGUUCUUUUUUUUAAUACAAGAAAGUUAAUUUUGCAAGAUAUUAUGAAAGGUCGCAUCAAAUACUAUCUGAGGCACAUCACAGGUGAAGUCGGCGAGUGUACGAUGUGUGCCGGGACUUGGACAAGUAUUGCUUUUGAUAUUAAUGGGAAAGACAAUGGAGGCUACUUUGCUCGACAGUACUAUCACGGUAGAUUUGGAAAUUGUAUACAACGGAGGCUACUUUGCUUGACAGAAACUUAUUGUUCAGGAUGCAUUCUGCAGGUUCCAUUACUGAUGUGGUACACAAUGCUUACUACACAUGUCACCUUAUUUUCUUGUUAUGCAAUUUAUCUAAUUAAGCAAAUGUCUCAGCGUCAUAUAUUGUUAAUCUGCAUUGCUACUAUAGACCACGGAGUAAGUUAGAUCUUCUUCUUGCCGCAAGCACGUGCAUUGCAAGCUUGCCCAUAUUUUUUGUAGCCACUAUACUUUAUUUUUCUAUGUCUGUGCAUUAUUGGCAUGUCAAUUGGAGAAUUUAAAAAUACCCCUACAAAUUAUGACAUAGCUCAAGUUUCAUCUUUUUGGGGUCAAUGAUUUGACAUCUGAAUCAGAUGUGUUAAUAUGAGCUACACAAAAUUUAAGUAUGUUAUAUCAUUCCAUAAUGCUAGAAUAUUCAUCAGUGAUUUCUAUAGGUUCAUUCUUUUUACCAUGGUGUUCGUACAAGGAUAACAUGAUAUAGACAAACUAUAAUCAUGCUUUCCUGCAUUGCAAGUUGCCCAUAUUAUUUUUAGAUGUUGGUUCUCUUCAUUUUCAUUUUAAAGUUUUAGUCUCAAGGCAUCCAUGCUAGCUUACUAUAGAAUUGAACACAAUUGAUGAACCUGAAAUCUUUAUGGGCGAGGUGCUGUAGCGAGAUUACUUUUUUUAAUCUGUUUUUCACGCCGAGAGAUGGUGAAAUUGUCCAUGCUCAGUGUCAUUCCUUGUUCUUAUUCAUGAGCUGCCAUGGUUAGUGUCACGUGUAUGCACAAUUGUAUUUCAUAAUACUGAACAACCUUGCAGGUGACAUAUUUUCCUUCUAG